CCAAUAGCGUAUAUUAAAGUUGUUGCAGUUAAAAAGCUCGUAGUUGAAUUUCGGGAUCAAUAUAUUGGUCGUGCCAUCGGUACGUACUGGUAUCAUUGGUUUCUCCUUUCUGACGAACCAUGAUGUCAUUAAUUUGGUGUUAUGGGAAGUUAGGACUGUUACUUUGAAAAAAUUAGAGUGUUUAAAGCAGGCUUUAGCUU
rnacentral:rRNA from 1 species